UUGGCCUUGACAUACUAAGAACUUUCCAGAGAUGGAUUGGUGCCUUCGGGAACUUAGAUACAGGUGCUGCAUGGCUGUCGUCAGCUCGUGUCGUGAGAUGUUGGGUUAAGUCCGCAACGAGCGCAACCCUUUUCCUUAUUUGCCAGCGGGUAAUGCCGGGAACUUUAAGGAUACUGCCAGUGACAAACUGGAGGAAGGCGGGGACGACGUCAAGUCAUCAUGGCCCUUACGGCCAGGGCUACACACGUGCUACAAUGGUCGGUACAAAGGGUUGCUACCUCGCGAGAGGAUGCUAAUCUCAAAAAGCCGAUCGUAGUCCGGAUCGCAGUCUGCAACUCGACUGCGUGAAGUCGGAAUCGCUAGUAAUCGCGGAUCAGAAUGCCGCGGUGAGUACGUUCCCGGGCCUUGUACACACCGCCCGUCACACCAUGGGAGUUUGUUGCACCAGAAGUAGGUAGUCUAACCGCAAGGAGGACGCUUACCACGGUGUGGCCGAUGACUGGGGUGAAGUCGUAACAAGGUAGGCGUAGAUGA
rnacentral:rRNA from 1 species